UCACAGGCUGGCUUAGGGAGAUGUGGCUCAUGGACAUCCUGCUGGUGACCACCUGGAUUCAAACAGACUGAGGAGGAAAUGAGCAUGUCCAUUGCCUCUCAUCCUGUGCACGGACGCUGCUGGGAAGAACAUGGAUUUGUUGCACUCAGUCCCAUCACCCCGGUCAUUGAUGAAAAUGUUAAAUGCUCUUGGCAUUGCUUUCAAAUAGAAAAAGGAGGCUCCAGACAAAUCUACACCUCGUUAACAUUUGUGAAAAUUCAAGGAAAAGGCUACACAUCCCAGUCUGUGGCAGGGGCACAGACACUUCUGCUGCUCUUGUUGGUAUAAAUGCACAUUUGGAAGCCCAGAAAGGGAAAAUUGAAAACAAUGAAGAAGGACAAGUGUGAAUAUAUCUGUGCAAGCUUUGGGAACACACAGAGCUUAAGCUAUUUGGUAUAUUUUUCCUGCAUCACUUCACCAUUCUCUGUAGUUAGCUAAAUUUCUUCAUCCCUUUGUCUCAAGUUUCUGUUUCUGUUCUGUUCCUCUGGCCGUUUGGUAUGUGACUGCAUUUUUGAAGGCAAAUUCUCAAAUGAUAGUGGCUGCAAGAGUAAAGAGAUCACUCCUCUCAGCAUAAAUUAUUGGAUAUAUUGGAUAUAUAUGCAUUAU